AGUGAACGCUGGCGGUAGGCCUAACGCAUGCAAGUCGAACGGCAGCACAGUAAGAGCUUGCUCUUACGGGUGGCGAGUGGCGGACGGGUGAGGAAUACAUCGGAAUCUACUUUUUCGUGGGGGAUAACGUAGGGAAACUUACGCUAAUACCGCAUACGACCUACGGGUGAAAGCAGGGGAUCUUCGGACCUUGCGCGAUUGAAUGAGCCGAUGUCGGAUUAGCUAGUUGGCGGGGCAAAGGCCCACCAAGGCGACGAUCCGUAGCUGGUCUGAGAGGAUGAUCAGCCACACUGGAACUGAGACACGGUCCAGACUCCUACGGGAGGCAGCAGUGGGGAAUAUUGGACAAUGGGCGCAAGCCUGAUCCAGCCAUACCGCGUGGGUGAAGAAGGCCUUCGGGUUGUAAAGCCCUUUUGUUGGGAAAGAAAAGCAGCAGGUUAAUACCCCGCUGUUCUGACGGUACCCAAAGAAUAAGCACCGGCUAACUUCGUG
rnacentral:rRNA from 1 species